CAGGUGAUUCGUGACUACAGAAAUGUAGAGAAGUGAAACCUUCAGACAUCUUGCUGCGCACAGCGACACGCUGGGGGAUAGAGCAGAAGUUGGGCUGUUAAGCUGGUUGUGGUUUUAGCUGGGCCCCAGCAACGUAAUCUCCAGAAGUAAUAACAUGUGCAAUUCAGACUUGCUGCUUGCUUCACCUCAAAUAUGUCCCUCUUCCAUAAAUCUUAACAAGUUUUCGCAAAUAAGCACUUGGCACAGUAUCUUCUACACAGUCAGUACAUACGUACUAGCUGAACUAGACUUGUUGAUGGACAGAAUGUUUUCUUUAGAAAUCCUUCUCAAGAUGCUCUGAAGAGAUAAGGGAAACCACACUGAAGGAUAUCUGAGGAGGCAAGAAAUUAAGAAAUGCACCGCCCAUGGAUUCAAUAAACUGUCAUACAUGGAUUGAUAUCUGAGAGAGAAAUCCAGAAAAACACUUGAGGGAGACUUGUGCAUACCAGGUGACUAAGGAUAUCCCCACAUUGAAACAGGAGCUGACAAGGCCUGGCCUUCUGUAGUCCCUUCCGAUGUACAGAGAACAUGACAGCUUUCCCUGGUCCUGCAGGCUCUUCUUACGGCUCCUCAUCUCAGCUCCUGAGCUCCAGCAAUAAAACCCAGCAUCUCUCUGGAAGGUGGACUAUAAUACCGCCCUGACUUUUCCAGUUGCUACCCGACGGCCUGGCUUCUAAGUUGCCUGUUUCUGGGAGCUGAUUACACAGAUGAAAAUUGAUUAAACUUUUCAAUCAAGACUAUGCUAUCCAUAAGAAAUAACACGGCAGGCUAGAAAGUAAAGGGAUAUUAGAGACGGAAGACUUCUUUGAUAUGGCAAUAAGAAGAAAUCAGGAGUAUUUUCAGCCUUUGAAAAGGAAGGAAACACAGCCACUUGCAACAGAGGUGAACCCGGAGGACAUCAUGCUAAGUGAACUAAGACAGACAAAGAGAAAUACUGCACGAUCUUACUUAAAUGUGAAAUCUUAAGAAGCCCGACUCAUAAAUGCAGAGAAAUCCGCUGUCUGGGUGUCCUCAGGGAGUUUCUGUUAUUUCUUCUGGAUCCUCUGUGUCGGGCAUAGCUUCCUAUUUCUUUAGAUGGUUCAUACCUUGUUAAAAAUUUGACACUGUAAGUGAUAUAAUGGGGAAACUCUGGAAAUCAGGAACCACCCAGGUCUGUUAC